rnacentral:rRNA from 1 species
AACGUAGGGGACAAGCGUUAUCCGGAUUUACUGGGCGUAAAGCGCCCGUAGGCGGCCUGACAAGUUGGACGUGAAAGACCCCGGCUCAACUGGGGGAUGUCGUGCGAUACGGGCGGACUGGAGGCCAGUAGGGGGAUGCGGAAUUCCGGGUGUAGUGGUGGAAUGCGUAGAGAUCCGGAGGAACACCAGCGGCGAAGGCGGCAUCCUGGACUGGUCCUGACACUCAGGAGCGAAAGCGUGGGGAGCGAUCCGG